GCAGUCGACGAUGAGAGGGAGCUUGCUCCCUGGAUUAGUGGCGAACGGGUGAGUAACACGUGAGUAACCUGCCCUUGACUCUGGGAUAAGCACUGGAAACGGUGUCUAAUACCGGAUACGAACUUCAGCCGCAUGGCUAGGAGUUGGAAAGAAUUUCGGUCAAGGAUGGACUCGCGGCCUAUCAGCUAGUUGGUGAGGUAAUGGCCCACCAAGGCGACGACGGGUAGCCGGCCUGAGAGGGUGACCGGCCACACUGGGACUGAGACACGGCCCAGACUCCUACGGGAGGCAGCAGUGGGGAAUAUUGCACAAUGGGCGCAAGCCUGAUGCAGCAACGCCGCGUGAGGGACGACGGCCUUCGGGUUGUAAACCUCUUUUAGUAGGGAAGAAGCGAAAGUGACGGUACCUGCAGAAAAAGCACCGGCUAACUACGUGCCAGCAGCCGCGGUAAUACGUAGGGUGCCAGCGUUGUCCGGAAUUAUUGGGCGUAAAGAGCUCGUAGGCGGUUUGUCGCGUCUGCUGUGAAAACCCGAGGCUCAACCUCGGGCCUGCAGUGGGUACGGGCAGACUAGAGUGCGGUAGGGGAGAUUGGAAUUCCUGGUGUAGCGGUGGAAUGCGCAGAUAUCAGGAGGAACACCAAUGGCGAAGGCAGAUCUCUGGGCCGUAACUGACGCUGAGGAGCGAAAGCAUGGGGAGCGAACAGGAUUAG
rnacentral:rRNA from 1 species